GGGUGUGUAGUUCAGUGGUUAGAACGCAGUCCUGAUAAGACUGAGGCCGGUGGUUCGAUUCCACCCACACCCA
rnacentral:tRNA from 1 species